rnacentral:rRNA from 1 species
GUGGGGAAUUGUUCACAAUGGGCGCAAGCCUGAUGACGCAACGCCGCGUGGAGGAUGAAGGUCUUCGGAUUGUAAACUCCUGUUGCUCGGGACGAAUGGCUCCAACCUAAUACGUUGGAGUGUGACGGUACCGAGUGAGGAAGCCCCGGCUAACUCUGUGCCAGCAGCCGCGGUAAUACAGAGGGGGCAAGCGUUGUUCGGAAUUACUGGGCGUAAAGGGCGCGUAGGCGGCCUUCUAAGUCGAACGUGAAAUCCCCGGGCUCAACCCGGGAACUGCGUCCGAUACUGGAAGGCUCGAAUCCGGGAGAGGGAUGCGGAAUUCCAGGUGUAGCGGUGAAAUGCGUAGAUAUCUGGAGGAACACCGGUGGCGAAGGCGGCAUCCUGGACCGGCAUUGACGCUGAGGCGCGAAAGCUAGGGGAGCAAACGGGAUUAGAAACCCGAGUAGUCC